GCGUUGACUCUCUGCAGCAGAGCUGGGCAUUUUCAGUCCUACAUUCUUGAUGCUAAAGAGAAGUCUUGGUACCCAAGAAGAACUUACUCCAAGUGGGUCGUAGGACAGCCAGGGGCACAGGUGAAGACCAGUGGCUGACUCAGUCAGAGAAGACAAAGAAGGGGAUCUGGAAAGGAUGGAGACCGACAUACACUUCCCUACACUUGCCUGAGGGUUUCAUCACUUCCCUGAUGAGCAAGGAUAUCAAGAAUGAACUCUCUCUGUGAAUUUGUGUGCAGAUGCAUACAUACAGUAAUUACAUGUUAUGAGUGUAGUGGUUUAGUAAACUGAAUGGAAUUUA